GAAAAGUCAUGACGCAUUUUU
rnacentral:miRNA from 1 species